rnacentral:rRNA from 1 species
UAAUACCGGAUAGGACCACGGGAUGCAUGUCUUGUGGUGGAAAGCGCUUUAGCGGUGUGGGAUGAGCCCGCGGCCUAUCAGCUUGUUGGUGGGGUGACGGCCUACCAAGGCGACGACGGGUAGCCGGCCUGAGAGGGUGUCCGGCCACACUGGGACUGAGAUACGGCCCAGACUCCUACGGGAGGCAGCAGUGGGGAAUAUUGCACAAUGGGCGCAAGCCUGAUGCAGCGACUCCGCGUGGGGGAUGACGGCCUUCGGGUUGUAAACCUCUUUCACCAUCGAC